GCCUGGCAGGCUCAGGUGACAGAGCAUAUGACUUUUGAUCUUGGGGUUGUGAGUUCAAGCCUUAUGCUGGGUG
rnacentral:tRNA from 1 species